ACGAAUGCUGAAGGUUGAUGCUGGUUCUUACAAGUGCUCACCUUCAAACUUCAUCUUUAACCAUUGUGAACCGUAGUAGACUAUGAUACCUCUCAGUGGCUUUUGCCAUUGGAUUGCGAGGGCUGCGUUUAGCUCCCAUGCAAUUUCAUAGUCUCCCCCUAUCCCCUUUAAACAAAGUCAUAGAAUGUCAUGUUUUAGGUGUAAGAACCUAUAAACUUUAUA
rnacentral:misc_RNA from 1 species